UACGUAGGGGGCAAGCGUUGUCCGGAUUUAUUGGGCGUAAAGAGCGUGUAGGCGGCCAUGCAGGUCCGUUGUGAAAACUCGAGGCUCAACCUCGAGACGCCGGUGGAAACCGUGUGGCUAGAGUCCGGAAGAGGAGAGUGGAAUUCCUGGUGUAGCGGUGAAAUGCGCAGAUAUCAGGAAGAACACCCGUGGCGAAGGCGGCUCUCUGGGACGUGACUGACGCUGAGACGCGAAAGCGGUGGGGAGCAAACAGG
rnacentral:rRNA from 1 species